rnacentral:tRNA from 1 species
GGGGCGGUAGCUCAGGUGGGAGAGCGCCUGAAUGGCAUUCAGGAGGUCGGGGGUUCGAGUCCCCUCCGCUCCA